UUUUCAUUUUAUUUUUUAUUGGACAUCUCAUAUACUACACAGUUAUUAUCAGGUUAAUAUCUGAUACAUAGGCCCACAUGAUAUUAAAUUAAGUUUUUUGGGGGUAGGCCCACCACAGAGUAGCUUGCUACUAGGGCCUUCAUGCGUCGCCCAUGCAUUGCACUACUGCGCGGGCGUGAUAAAAAACUA
rnacentral:snRNA from 1 species